UACGUAGGGUGCGAGCGUUGUCCGGAAUUACUGGGCGUAAAGCGUGCGCAGGCGGCUAUGCAAGACAGAUGUGAAAUCCCCGGGCUCAACCUGGGAACUGCAUUUGUGACUGCAUAGCUAGAGUACGGUAGAGGGGGAUGGAAUUCCGGCGUGUAGCAGUGAAAUGCGUAGAUAUGCGGAGGAACACCGAUGGCGAAGGCAAUCCCCGUGGGCCUGCACUGACGCUCAUGCACGAAAGCCGUGGGGAGCAAACAGG
rnacentral:rRNA from 1 species